AGGACGAACGCUGGCGGCGUGCCUAAUACAUGCAAGUCGAACGAGGUCCACCCGGUGGCAACACCGGUGAAGACCUAGUGGCGAACGGGUGAGUAACACGUGAGGAACCUGCCCCGAAGACCGGGAUAACUCUCCGAAAGGAGUGCUAAUACCGGAUACCCCCAGAAGAUCGCAUGGUCUUUUGAGGAAAUGGAUUCCGCUUCGGGAGGGCCUCGCGGCCUAUCAGCUUGUUGGUGAGGUAACGGCUCACCAAGGCAUCGACGGGUAGCUGGUCUGAGAGGACGAUCAGCCACACUGGGACUGAGACACGGCCCAGACUCCUACGGGAGGCAGCAGUAGGGAAUCUUGCGCAAUGGGCGAAAGCCUGACGCAGCAACGCCGCGUGGGGGAUGAAGGCUCUCGGGUUGUAAACCCCUUUCAGUAGGGACGAAAUCAGACGGUACCUACAGAAGAAGCCCGGCCAACUACGUGCCAGCAGCCGC
rnacentral:rRNA from 1 species